GAGGAGCGCAUUUWUUCGCCACAAAACCAAGCGGCUUCGGCCGUUCUGUGUUGACUCAGAAUAACUGUCAGCUGAUCGCACGGUCUUGCACCGGCGACGUGUCUUUCAAGCAUCUGCCUUAUCAACUUUCGACGGCAGGGUAAGUGCCUGCCGUGGUUGUGACGGGUAACGGAGGAUCAGGGUUCGACUCCGGAGAAGGGGCCUGAGAAAUGGCCACUACGUCUAAGGAUGGCAGCAGGCGCGCAAAUUACCCACUCUCAAUACGAGGAGGUAGUGACGAGAAAUAACAAGGCCGUUCUCCUAAGAGGCCGGCCAUUGGAAUGGGUACAAUUUAAACCCGUUAACGAGUAUCAAUGAGAGGGCAAGUCUGGUGCCAGCAGCCGCGGUAAUUCCAGCUCUCAAAAUGCAUAGAACCAUUGCUGCGGUUAAAAAGCUCGUAGUUGGAUCUGUGCCGGCACGGCGGUCCAUCUUCGGAUGCGCACUGCYCGCUGCCGGCUUCACCUCAGUCGUUUGGCUGCCGGGUGGGCUUCGCCGCUCGCUCGGCCAGUCGCGGCAACUUUACCUUGAGCAAAUAAGAGUGCUUAAAACAGGCGUUUGCCUGCAUUUUUUACCAUGGAAUAAUAGAACACGAUCGCGGUCCUGUUUUAUUGGUUUUCUCAGGCCGAGAUAAUGGUUAACAGAGACAGCCGGGGGCAUUCGUAUUGCGGCGUGAGAGGUGAAAUUCUUGGACCGCCGCACGACGGACUACAGCGAAAGCAUUUGCCAAGAGUGUCUUCAUUAAUCAAGAACGAAAGUCAGAGGUUCGAAGGCGAUCAGAUACCGCCCUAGUUCUGACCGUAAACGAUGCCAACUUGCGAUCCGCCGGCCGAAUUAUCGCGCUGGUGGGGAGCAUUCCGGAAACGAAAGUCUUCCGGUUCCGGGGGAAGUAUGGUUGCAAAGCUGAAACUUAAAGGAAUUGACGGAAGGGCACCACCAGGAGUGGAGCCUGCGGCUUAAUUUGACUCAACACGGGGAAACUCACCCGGCCCGGACACCGUAAGGAUUGACAGAUUGAGAGCUCUUUCAUGAUUCGGUGGUUGGUGGUGCAUGGCCGUUCUUAGUUCGUGGAGCGAUUUGUCUGGUUUAUUCCGAUAACGAGCGAGACUCUGGCCUACUAAAUAGUGUACGCAUUGCUGCUGUGCGUUCAGCACUUCUUAGAGGGAUUUUCGGUGUUCAGCCGCACGAAAUUGAGCAAUAACAGGUCUGUGAUGCCCUUAGAUGUCCGGGGCUGCACGCGCGCUACACUGGCAAAAUCAGCGUGCUUGUCCUGCGCCGAAGGGCGCGGGUAAACCCUUGAAAAUUUGCCGUGAUUGGGAUCGGGAAUUGCAAUUAUUUCCCGUGAACGAGGAAUUCCAAGUAAGUGCCAGUCAUCAGCUGGCGUUGAUUACGUCCCUGCCC
rnacentral:rRNA from 1 species